rnacentral:rRNA from 1 species
UGGGGAAUUUUGGACAAUGGGGGCAACCCUGAUCCAGCAAUGCCGCGUGUGUGAAGAAGGCCUUCGGGUUGUAAAGCACUUUUGUCCGGAAAGAAAACGCCGUGGUUAAUACCCGUGGCGGAUGACGGUACCGGAAGAAUAAGCACCGGCUAACUACGUGCCAGCAGCCGCGGUAAUACGUAGGGUGCAAGCGUUAAUCGGAAUUACUGGGCGUAAAGCGUGCGCAGGCGGUCCGCUAAGACAGAUGUGAAAUCCCCGGGCUUAACCUGGGAACUGCAUUUGUGACUGGCGGGCUAGAGUAUGGCAGAGGGGGGUAGAAUUCCACGUGUAGCAGUGAAAUGCGUAGAGAUGUGGAGGAAUACCGAUGGCGAAGGCAGCCCCCUGGGCCAAUACUGACGCUCAUGCACGAAAGCGUGGGGGAGCAAAACAGGAUUCAGAUACCCUGGGUAGUCCACGCCCUAAACGAUGUCAACUAGUUGUCGGGUCUUCAUUGACUUGGUAACGUAGCUAACGCGUGAAGUUGACCGCCUGGGGAGUACGGUCGCAAGAUUAAAACUC